rnacentral:rRNA from 1 species
CCGAACGGCAGAAGUGGUGAUGGGCGCGUAUUUUCCGCCGGGCUCUUGGCCGGCGUACUUGUGCGCGUCCGUAGGUCAGCGUGAGUUGUGGCGUGGGAGUCGUUCAUGGGAAGGUC